GGGAACGAGACCCUAACGUUAGCACCCUAUCACACCUUCUAUGGAACACUGGAAGAACAAAUGGCCAAGAGUGGAAUAGGUGUCAGCCGGAACCUGUGGGACCAGCCUCUGUGUAUUGGUCCAGACCACAAAGACACUGCCCCAGUAUGGGAAACACUGCCUACACAAGAUUUCUUCACUUUCAAUGUUCCUUUUGAAAUAGUGGGGAAAACAAGGAGUAUUCCAAUGCCCUUGCCACCAAAAUAUCAAAAGGCCAUUAGUCAAAGACAGAAGCAAAUAGACUCCUGGCAGAAAACUGUGAAAGAGUCAGGACUUGCCAAAGAACAGAGGAGAGAGUUUCAGAAGCUUGUGGAAUCUCGUUUCCAUGUGUGGCUUUCAGAGACUGGACACAAGCGUGAACUAGAUAGUCUUGUAGUGCCUUUACAAAAUCAAACACUUAAAAAAUGAUGCUGUAGAGGUUAUUUUUAUCCAUGUACUAUUUUAUUAGAUAUCUUUCACAUACCAAUCACCAAUGAAUGACCAAUAGAAAAGCACUGAUCAAAUUCCAUUAUGUCAACGAAAAAGCUUAAUUUUAUAGAUUUGUUAGUGCUAGAUUUAAUAUACCGGUUCAAGAUUGUAAAAUUACAGAGAAUGAAAUAUAACCUCAAGUGCCACCAGUUCUUAGUUAAUGUUUUAUGUAAUAAAUGUGUUGUUCAC
rnacentral:misc_RNA from 1 species